rnacentral:misc_RNA from 1 species
ACUGGGACCAUGUUGAAAUGUAGGAAGCAAUACUUCUUUGGAUUUCAAAAACAUGGUUUAUAACUUUGCUUGAAAUUGUAUCAGUCUCCUGAUAUUUUUGCAUGUAACCUUUGGAAUUUUGUCCAUGUGCUUCAGAUUAUGUUAUUUCAGGAUAAUCCCCUUUGUACACUUGACUCAGAGAUGGGUUUGGACUUAAGUGGGAUCUUCAAAUGUAUG